UACAGCUUCCAAUCCAGGCCAAAGUCCCUCUUUCUUGCACCCUUCCGUAAAUCUCCUAACACAAACUCAAAUUCUAUAACAAGUCCUUUUUAACACCCUCUUCCUAAGACAUCCCAUGGUUCCCCAUGGUGUGCAUUCUCACGUACUGAAACAAGCAAUACAUCCAAGUUGCUCAGCUAUAGUUGUGUUCCUGGUGGUCAUUAUCGGGAGGUCGUUAACAAUAAUCAAGUCCAAGAUAUGCAAGUGAUGAUGUCAAAGAAACAGAUGAAUAUAUUGGUCUGGGGUAUAGUUCAGGGUGAAGAAAUAAACUUGGCAGUUAUGAAUUUAUAGAUGAAACCUAGUCUUGGACUAUACGAUAUUAUCUAAGCAAAGAUUGUAGAUGGAGAGUUGGGCUAUGAUAACUUCCAACAUUUCAUAGUUGAGCAGAGGAGGAGGAAGAACCAGCAAGAGACUGAGAAGUAGUAGUCUGUGAGGUAAGAAGGUGAUGUCAUAGAAGUCAAGAGCAGAAAGUUUUACAAUUAGAAGAAAGUGGUCAGCUAUAGCAAAUGCUUCACAGAAGUAGUGAGGAUACAGAAUUGAUCAGAGAUAGUCAUUAGAGCCUUCAGAAAGAGCAGCUUUGGAGUGAGACAGAAAGACUAUAUUGAAUUUAUUGACGAACAAAAGAUCUACAAAUGGAGACAACUCUUGAGAGAGCAGCAGCUUAAUCUUUCUAUGUGAAAAAAUACACUUGUCCCAUGAUCCUCCACAAGGCAGGAGAUGGAGGAAAUAUUGCAGGAGUCUCUUUGCUGAAGUCUUUGUUAACAGCAUGACCAUGGAUGGACAGUGACUGGCAUUUAAUUUUGACAUGAGGAGGGAGGAGAAGCCAGCAAUACUCAGUGCCUCUAUUAAAGUGAAGGGAAAGACAC
rnacentral:lncRNA from 10 species